UCAGCUCUCUUCGCCAAUUGGCUUAGAUCAAGUGUAGUAUCUGUUCUUUUCAGUUUAAUAUCUGAAAUGUCGUCCACGUGACGACAUCAUAUAUUAAUACUAUUUUUGAAUCUCGACGAAAUCCGCUUAGCUUGCUAAUGGUUUCUUCACCGUGUCUCCAGUAUUGCACUGUCUCUGGAAGAUGCGAACUUAU
rnacentral:snRNA from 1 species